AUUGACAGAUUGAGAGCUUUUUCUUGAUUCAUUGGAUGGUGCCGCAUGGCCGGUGUUGUUUCAUGGGGUGACCUGUCUUCUUAACUGCGGUAACGAACGAGAUCUCUUCCCUUAACCAGGUGUUUGAUUCAUUAUGUAGGGGCCCGCAGGCGCCCGGGGCUUGCCCAGGGUACCUGUUUGGGUUUCGAGAAACAGUGUAAGUUCUUCUUAUGGGGACUGCGUGCGUUUUUAGUACGCGGAAGAUGGAGCUAAUACCAGGUCUGUGAUGCUCCUAAAUGUUCUGGGCUGCACGCGCACUACACUGGUGUGGCAAACGAGUACAUUGGAAAUGACUAUAUGGAAAUUAUUCUGUUAGCUGUUUUGUAAAUAACCUGCCUAGAAGUGGGUGGGGAAUCUGAGAAACUCUUGCCGUGAUUGGGAUAGAUGAUUGAAAUUAUUCGUCUUGAACGAGGAAUGCCUAGUAGGCGUAGCUCAUCAAGCUACAUCGACUAUGUCCCUGCCAUUUGUACACACCGCCCGUCGUUGCUACCGAUUUGGUUCACGCGUAGAGAAGUCAGGAGGUAACUGAAUUUCGUUUAGGAUUAAAUUUCGUCUAUAUGUGUAUACUAGAGGAAGCAAAAGUCGUAACAAGGUUGCUGUAGGUGAACCUGCACAAGGAUCAACGAC
rnacentral:rRNA from 1 species